rnacentral:rRNA from 1 species
GAACGCACUCUUCGGAGUGAGUGGCAGACGGGUGAGUAACGCGUGGGAAUGUGCCUAUCGGUACGGAAUAGCUCCGGGAAACUGGAAUUAAUGCCGUAUACGCCCCCUGGGGGAAAGAUUUAUCGCCGAUAGAUCAGCCCGCGUUAGAUUAGCUAGUUGGUAGGGUAAAAGCCUACCAAGGCUACGAUCUAUAGCUGGUCUGAGAGGAUGAUCAGCCACACUGGGACUGAGACACGGCCCAGACUCCUACGGGAGGCAGCAGUGGGGAAUCUUGGACAAUGGGGGAAACCCUGAUCCAGCCAUGCCGCGUGAAUGAUGAAGGCCUUAGGGUUGUAAAAUUCUUUCAGCAGGGAAGAUAAUGACGGUACCUGCAGAAGAAGCCCCGGCUAACUCCGUGCCAGCAGCCGCGGUAAUACGGAGGGGGCUAGCGUUGUUCGGAAUUACUGGGCGUAAAGCGCACGUAGGCGGAUUGUUAAGUUAGAGGUGAAAGCCCGGAGCUCAACUCCGGAAUAGCCUUUGAUACUGGCAGUCUAGAGUUCAGGAGAGGUGAGCGGAAUUCCGAGUGUAGAGGUGAAAUUCGUAGAUAUUCGGAGGAACACCAGAGGCGAAGGCGGCUCACUGGACUGAUA